GAGAAGAAGCUUUUGAUUGGGAAUUUUGAUCAGUUAGGCCAAUUUUAGUUUAGCCAGUCUAAUGGAUCGCAGCACUUUAGAGUGAAGGCUAAUUAUUCUGGAGAUCAAUACCGUCACGGUCACCGUCAGCGUGAGGACUACAAGGAUAAAAGCACCAGGAGCCACAGAAGAAAUGACGACAAUGAGGAUUACAGCCGUUCCAGGAACCAUAAAUUUGACAGGUCAUUUUAGGAAAAGUGUUUGUAUGCAUAAGCUUUUAGAUCUUUCCAUUUGUUAUGAUGGUUCUUUUGUGGGGUAGGGGGUGAGUCUAUUUUGAAUUGAU
rnacentral:misc_RNA from 1 species